AAUCCUAUUCUACAAUACUAAUGACUCACCCACACUCAACGUUUAUAAUCACAGUUGUAUUUUAAGAAUUCCAUCUUACCCGGUUUCAUUCUUUUUAACAGAUUUCUUACUAUGUUCUGCUAUUUUUCUUCUUCUUAGACUUCAAGCCCUGCUGUGAACUUAGCCUAUGGAAAGUUACCAGAAGGGUUUUCCAGUCCUUGAAAGAGUCUAAACUUCUGUCUCUUAUCAGUGCCGUCAGUUUUGCCAUCUCUGCGUCUUCCAAGAUUUCCAUCAGGCGGUCUUCCUUUGAAGGCAAACUAGGUAUGUCAGAAGUUCUCCCUUCUCCAGAUCAAAUUCAGAAGUCAUCUAAUGCGGGUUGAGAUACACAGAAGAAGAAAAACAGACAUCAAUUUAAGAUGCCAAGCCUGAGCUCUGCAUGGAGCUGUCAAGAGUGCCAAUGAUGCCCCCUCGCCUCACCCAAACCUGAACCCUCAUCUACUGAGACUAUUGGGAGGGAAUAAAGUAGGUGAAUAAUGUUUUGGCAGCUGGGUCUGAUCUAGAGACAGUUGUACUUCAGUUGUGGGGAUUCUAGGGACCUUCACAGUGCUAUCCGGAACACUUGCUUCUGAACAUGCCCCUUGAACACAGUGAGACUUUUCUUCAAGGAAGCAUUCAUAGAAAGAGUGAACUUGUUAGUUGUGUGACCAACCUACCCGUUGAUUUUAAUAUGGCUUAAGUACUUUAUUUUUCCAUGUAUAAGACGCCC